rnacentral:miRNA from 1 species
UUGUCCAGUAGCACCUUAGAGACCAACUAUGUUUGUUCUGGGUAUAAGCUUUCGUGCGCAUGCACACAAAAGCUUAUACCCAGAACAAACUUAGUUGGUCUCUAAGGUGCUACUGGACAA